rnacentral:rRNA from 1 species
UACGUAGGGUGCAAGCGUUGUCCGGAAUCAUUGGGCGUAAAGAGCGUGUAGGCGGCUUGGUAAGUCCGCUGUGAAAGUCCAGGGCUCAACCCUGGAAAGCCGGUGGAAACUGUCAAGCUUGAGUCCGGAAGAGGCGAGUGGAAUUCCUGGUGUAGCGGUGAAAUGCGCAGAUAUCAGGAGGAACACCGGUGGCGAAGGCGGGUCUCUGGGCCGAUACUGACGCUGAGGAGCGAAAGCGUGGGGAGCGAACAGG